AUUGAACGCUGGCGGCAUGCUUUACACAUGCAAGUCGAACGGCAGCGCGGUCUUCGGCCUGGCGGCGAGUGUCGCACGGGUGAGUAAUACAUCGGAACGUGCCCAGCAGUGGGGGAUAGCCCGUCGAAAGCCGGAUUAAUACUGCAUACGACCUGAUGGUGCAAGCGGGGGACCGAAAGGCCUCGCGCUCUUGGAGCGGCCGACGCCGGAUUAGGCAGUUGGUGGGGUAAAGGAUUACUAAGGUGACGAUCCGUAGCUGGUCGGAGAGGACGAGCAGCCGGCCUGGGACGGUGACACGCCCCAGAGGCCUUGGGGAGGCAGCAGUAGGGAAUUUUGGAGAAGGGGGGCAAAACUGAGCCAGACAGGCGGAGUGCGGGGAAGAAGGCCUUCGGGUUGUAAACCGGUUUUGUUCGGGAAGAAAUGCUCUGGGCUGAUACCCCGGGGGGAUGACGGUACCGGAAGAAUAAGCACCGGCUAACUACGUG
rnacentral:rRNA from 1 species